GUUUAAAAAUAUUAAAUGCAGCCUGAUUCUGUCUGAUCUCAGAAGCUAAGCAGGGUCAGGCCUGGUUAGUACUUGGAUGGGAGACCAUCUAGGAAGACCAGGUACUGUAGGCA
rnacentral:rRNA from 1 species